rnacentral:rRNA from 1 species
UACGUAUGGUGCGAACGUUGUUCGGAAUCACUGGGCAUAAAGAGCACGUAGGCGGCCGUGCAAGUCCGGUGUGAAAUCCCCCGGCUUAACUGGGGAACUGCAUCGGAUACUACACGGCUUGAGUGCAGGAGGGGAGAGUGGAAUUCCAGGUGGAGCGGUGAAAUGCGUAGAUAUCUGGAGGAACGCCGGCGGCGAAAGCGACUCUCUGGUCUGUAACUGACGCUGAGGUGCGAAAGCUAGGGGAGCAAACGGG